GAGCCCGACGCGGGGCUCGAACCCACGAGCUGUGAGAUCAUGACCCGAGCCGAAGUCGGACGCUCAACCGACUGAGCCCCCCCAGGCGCCCCGACGUUUACUUUAAAUUGUUAAUCUUCGCGUGGAGAUCAUGGCAAUUUGACGUUUGGGAAGACGCACAUUGUGACAUUUCCUCUCAACCAGAAACAGAGCCGUGUCUCGUUCAUUCGUGUCCUCUCAUGUGUCCCGCGGGAGAGCUGUCGCCAGUGUUUCCGCGUGUGUGGGGGGGACCUGACGCCGGUGCGCAGGUCGUCCCUGAGCCUUCCCCCAUGCCGCCGUGUCCGGGGUCAGGAGCAGCAGCCACAGCAUCUUGUCUCCUUCCUGAGCCGUCUCAGGCCGAGAGUCUGGGACAGAUUUUCACAGCUUCACCAAACUGGAAGAAACUCCCUUCUUUUCCCAGUUUCCCAGUGUUCAGGGAGUGGGGCUUACACAGCCUCAGAGGAUUCCGUGGCACUCGUUAAGGGCCCCUCCCUCUGCCUCAGAGGCGGACGCAUGGCAGACCAGCUCCCCCAGCCUCUCCUGGCCUCCCUGUUGCCGCACGAGGGAUGUGGCGCCGGGCACGCGCUCUGCACGAAGGGGUCCUUGCCGCCAUCGAGGGCUUCCUUUGAGCCCCCGGACGUGGUGGGGCCGGAGUCCGACCUCACCUGACAGGGGCCGCCUGCCCCGUACACGACUUUACACUCCAGCUUUCAGAAUCUUUCUUUCUACGGACAGCAGAGAAGCAGGCUUUGCUUUACGGACCACUCGGGGAAUCUUUAAACAGGCGAGUCAAUUCAAUUCCCUGUUUACAGACAGGACGAUACGCUGUGCACAAGUCUAACCUACCAGCCCGUUCUGUUUGCAUGCAGGCCUCUUAAGCCUUUCACCGCGAAGUAACGCGGAUUUCGUUACAAUUUUCCCGUCCUGUUGGCAAUUUGGAGUUUUGUCCUCCCGACCACCCUUUAUAAGCAGCCCAGCAUCUCCAGCCGUGUGUGGCACCCACGGGUCUGCCACCAUGGCCUCAGUGACCCCACCUCGCCAGCACCGCUCGGCCACCUUCGGUCUCCCUCCGGGAGUUACCGGCUCCGAUCCCCGGCUCCCACCAGAGGUGACCUGGGCUGCCCUUCCCUGUGUUGGGCACGAUACCCCAAGCACGCUGUGCUCCCGGACAGCCUCCUGGCUCCGCGCCUCACACUCGAGCCUCUUACCCUGUAGCCGCUGCCCCUGAUGAACUGCUCAGCUGGCCGCAGGGUCUCUGGUCUCUGGCCCUCUCUUCUCCUGAACACCGUGUGGGAGCCGACCCUCUGUGCUCAGGCGCGGAGCUCUGUGUCCACAGCUGGCAAGCCGGCCUCGUUCUCUUCCCUGGUACGCAAUUCAGUGUCUUCGUCUGGCUACCAGAAGGUUUUGUCACACCCAUAAUUUUGAUACAGUAUUUCCUACGCUGGCCAUUCUGGAUGGAUUUCCCGGAAACACAGCACCGUCUUCACCUCCUUCCGGUGUCUGGAGCGCCCGCGGUCACGCAGAGACUGUCCUCGGCCCGUGCCCUGUGUUGUGCUGGUCUCGUCCUUCCCCGCUCUCUCCCCACCGCGUCCUGCUCAGUCCCCGCGUCUGUCCCACGUCUGCCCCGCGCUUCCACGCGCUCCGGGCAGCUGAAGCUUCUGAUGGGAGAUGCCGGUCUCCUCCUGUUCCACCCCACGCCCCCCGCGUUCCCGACUCAGCUCUGCCUGCCGUCUGGCCGCCUCUGACUCCUCACUCUCUCAAGUCCAGUGCUUUGUGACGGCAGCCGUCCCAGUGGCUUCUCUCCACCACAGGCGGCUUCUGUGGUCCCUUUGCCACCCCGCUCGGAGGGCGCCGGGGCCCCGCAGCAGCUGGACUCAGGGAGUGUGCGCCACGUGCUCUGUCUCGGGCACCUUCUCUGUCUCUCUCGGAAGACGGCCCUUCCCGAGCCCGUCACUCCUGCCUCCCAGGAGCCCCCAUGCCGCCCGUCUCCGCUGCCCCCUUCCAAGACUCAGUGCUGCUGCCCAGCAGGUGCCACCUGCAGACGGCUCUUCGUCUCUUCUGACAAAGGCACUUCCAGGCUGAUGGCCUGUCUGUCCCCAGCCCCACCGAAGACGUACUCCGUAUACGUUUUGUUGCCGUUGCUCUGGGAGCGAGCAGCCACCCUCUCCUACCACAGUCCUACGUGCAUUUUAAUGUUCACAGGUUCCUGUUGCUGCACCGCGGGUCCACUCCUGUCUCCCACUUUCUUCAUUGACCUUCUUUUAAGAUCUCUCCAAGCUGUUAGAUACGCAUCGAGUUCCUGGGUCUCCUCCACCCCCACAACUGCACCCAGUAAGCAGGGGAGUGAGGACCCUACUAAGGCCUCCUCCUUGGCUGCUGUGGCUGUUCAAAGUCUACUUUAUCUGAUGCUAAUGUACUACGAACAGCCUUCUCUGCACUAGCCUUUGCUAAGUUUUUAAUUUUCUAGUACACUUACAAGCUUUCUGCUU